CUUCCGGGUACUUUGACUGUUUCAAGAUACAGGUAUACCUUACCGAAGAGAAAGGGGAAAAACACCCUAAGUCACUCAAAAGAGAACCAGAACGGCAGCCACCACAUGUGUUUUAAAUCUAUUACCCACACAAUUAAGAAUACAGUAUUAUAAACCAGCUCUAUAAAUCUUAUAAUAAACACGGUAGCACACCAACCCUCUACUUAGCUAUAGAGAGGCUCUUAACAACUCUCUAGAUUCCGUGGCGAUGCGGCUUUGGGAUUGACUUAAUAUUCCACAGGAAGAACGUUUAACUGGAUGAAAUAAAUCAGAGCACAUCCCUCCUGCGUACCAAAAAGGAAAAGGAAAAAGAAAAUCUUCUUAAGAGGCAAAAAAGCAGCACAGUGCGUGCCUGGCUUCAGUCUUCCCGAAAAGCCUUCAGAUUUUUAUUUCCAUUUAAAAGUGCUAAGAAAACUGAAUGUGCAGACAGGGCUUGAGGCAUUGUUCUGCGGGAACACCCUGGAGAGCCUCUGCCUUUCAACCUCGGUCCUAACCUCACCGGCAGAGGGAGGCGAGGUCUGUGUGGACGUAAAGAAUUGUCAAGUGUAGGAGUUCCCGUCGUGGCGCAGUGGUUAACGAAUCCGACUAGGAACCAUGAGCCACAACGGGAACUCCUCAAGACAUUCAAUUUUAUGUUUAAUUUGUUUCAAAUACCCUGUUUCCAUGCGGUUCUUGGCAAAGAUGAGAGCAUAUCCCUUACAGGAGAGAUGAGGGUGCUGGAAACCAUCGGACCCCGCAAAUCCCGACUCUGGUCGCGAGUGAGUCGUUAAGCUUCCCAAGCCUCAAUGCCAGACGGAAUUACAAUCAUUUACUUUGCCAUCUCUCCGACCAGAUGCUGACUUCUGCAGAGCGGGAAUUUCUCAUGUUCAUCUACCAUCAAAGCCUAGUGCCUGGAGCGUGGCAGGUACUUGAGCCACGAGUGUCAGGUGACUGAGUGGUUGGGUGUGCCAUCUGACGGUGAGUGACUGCUCCAUCGACACUGCAGGGCCACUAUGUGGGGAAAUGGGCUAAGAUGUGAAAACACACCUGUUAUGUUACCUACUAAAAGAUGUUAAAUGUUAUUAUUUUAUUUGAAACAUUCCAAGUAGAAUAUUCACUUAUGAAAAUCUGACCCUGCCUUUAACCUUUGCUAAGGGAUUGAGUGACGCAUUUUUUUCUUUCUUAUUAUGCUAAGUUUC
rnacentral:lncRNA from 1 species